UACGGGGGGGGGCAAGCGUUGUUCGGAAUUACUGGGCGUAAAGGGCUCGUAGGCGGCCAACUAAGUCAGACGUGAAAUCCCUCGGCUUAACCGGGGGAACUGCGUCUGAUACUGGAUGGCUUGAGAUUGGGAGAGGGAUGCGGAAUUCCAGGUGUAGCGGUGAAAUGCGUAGAUAUCUGGAGGAACACCGGUGGCGAAGGCGGCAUCCUGGACCAACACUGACGCUGAGGAGCGAAAGCCAGGGGGAGCAAACGGG
rnacentral:rRNA from 1 species